rnacentral:rRNA from 1 species
GGCGGUAGAUUUGUGUUUAGAGGAGCUUGCCUAUUAAUUGACUUUACUCAUUGUAUUUAACUUUAUUAAGCUUAUUUAUCUCCGUUACUAGAAUACUAAUUUAAAUGCAUUUGUUGAUUUGAUUUCAGGUCAAGAUGUAGUUUUAUAAAGGUUUGGUGAGCUACAUUUUAAUAUAAAUGGAUAGUUAGGUUAAAUUUUAUUUAAAAGUGGAUUUAGAAGUAAUUUUUUUUAGAAUUAAAAGGUGAAUUUAUUAGAAUUUAUGUACACAUC